UUCGGUUAGCCUAGAGCGGCGGACGGGUGAGUAACACGUGGAUAAUCUACCUCCUUGUUGGGAAUAGCUUGUGGAAACAUAAGGUAAUACCGAAUAAUACUUUCUUAUCAUAAGAUAGGAAAAGGAAAGGCGCCUCAAAGCGUCGCAAGGAGAUGAGUCUGCGUCCCAUUAGCUAGACGGUAGGGUAAAGGCCUACCGUGGCAAUGAUGGGUAGCCGGACUGAGAGGGUCAUCGUCCACUUUGGAACCGAACCCCGAUCCAUACUGAGACGGGGGUUUUGCGAUUCGAUUACUCUCAAUGGACGAAAGUCUGACGGAGCGACGACUCGAGAACGAUGAAGGCCGUGAGCAUAUAAUCCUCUUUUCGGGAGGAGGAAUAAGGUUUGUAGGAAAUGACAGACUGAUGAUGCUAAUCCCGGACUAAGCCCCGGCUAACUACGUGCCAGCGGCCGCGGUAACACGUAGGGCGGCAAGCGUUGUUCGGAAUCAUUGCACGUAAAGGGCGUGCAGGUGGUGUUGCAAGUCUGGCGUGAAAGAUCUCGGCUUAACCGAGGGAACGCGCUGGAAACUGUAAUACUAGAGUACGGGAGGUGACAUUGCAAUUCCAGGUGUAGGGGUGAAAUCUGUAGAUAUCUGGAAGAACACCGGUGGCGAAGGCUAAUGUCUGGCCAUGUACUGACGCUGAGACGCGAAGGU
rnacentral:rRNA from 1 species